GGAGAGGCACCUACAUGACCAUGGAAAAGGAUGAGGACAACAAGAAGAUGAUGGUCUAAUACAGGGGUCCCCAAAAUAAGGCCCAUGGGAUGGAUGUGGUUCCCCAAAAUCAUUUACCCAGCCCCCAACUAAACUGUAGACUUGGGAUCACCCUAAAUCUGAAUCGAUUUGAAGGAACACAACAACAACAAUCCUGAUUAACUUGACUAUCUCAUCAGCCAAAAGCAAGCCCACACUUCCCAUUGAAAUACUGCAAAAAAAAGUUAUGUCAUACAGAUUGUAAAAUAUUGGAAGAAAAAACCAAACAUUUUGCCAGCUGAACAAAAAUGAAUCACCAUGAUGCUCAACACAGCAAUGCCUGCCUUAUGUAUCACUCAUCCUGCAACUGCUGGAAACUGUAUUGCAAAGGCAUAAAGUGACAAUUGUGAAAUGAUGACAUAUGUGAUGAUGACAACAACAGCAACAACAGGGGACAUCUCUACAGCUGAUUGGUCCUCCAAUCUGAUCAAUCCCCUGCUGCCAUUCUCUCCACCAAGGGAAUCCCCACCUGGAGGCCGUGACAUCAAUGAAGCUCUCAGCCAAUCUCAACAUAGAUCCUGGUCAGCCUCCUUUCCAGCCAAUCAGAGGAGAGAGAGUAAGGUUUGAAUUGCUGUCAGAAGUGUAUAAGAUAUCUUGCAUUCCUCUGUCUCUUUUGAAGCAAAUGGCUUGUACUUGCGUUCUUUUUGGCUGAAUCGUAUUAAACCUCUGUGACUUG
rnacentral:lncRNA from 11 species